AGAGUUUGAUCCUGGCUCAGAGCGAACGUUAGCGGCGGGCCUAACACAUGCAAGUCGAACGAGAAUGUAGGCUUCGGUCUACUAGUAAAGUGGCGGACGGGUGCGUAACACGUGGGUAAUCUACCUUCCGGCGGGGGACAACAGUCCGAAAGGAUUGCUAAUACCGCAUACGUCAGCGGCGCCUACGGACGCUGUUGGGAAAGAUGGCCUCUCCUUGGAAGCUAUCACCGGAAGAUGAGCCCGCGUCCCAUCAGCUAGUUGGUGAGGUAAUGGCUCACCAAGGCUAAGACGGGUAGCUGGUCUGAGAGGAUGAUCAGCCACACUGGGACUGCGACACGGCCCAGACUCCUACGGGAGGCAGCAGUGGGGAAUAUUGGGCAAUGGGCGAAAGCCUGACCCAGCCACGCCGCGUGAGUGAUGAAGGCCUUCGGGUCGUAAAGCUCUGUGGGGAGGGACGAACAAGCCUGGGGCUAAUCACCCGGGACCUGACGGUACCUCCUUAGCAAGCACCGGCUAACCCUGUGCCAGCAGCCGCGGUAAUACAGGGGGUGCAAACGUUGCUCGGAAUCAUUGGGCGUAAAGCGCACGUAGGCGGUCUGUUAUGUCGGAUGUGAAAGCCCUCGGCUCAACUGAGGAAGUGCAUCCGAAACUGGCAGGCUAGAGUACUAAAGAGGGUCGCGGAAUUCCCGGUGUAGAGGUGAAAUUCGUAGAUAUCGGGAGGAACACCGGUGGCGAAGGCGGCGACCUGGGUAGAUACUGACGCUGAGGUGCGAAAGCGUGGGGAGCAAACAGGAUUAGAU
rnacentral:rRNA from 1 species